CCUUAAGGGAGAGACAGUCGCCCUGGUGCAUCGCCAAAAUUGCACGGCGCAGCCCGGCACAGCUGGAGGCAUUGCAAAAAGGAUCGGCUCUUUCACAGGGCUCCGGCACAGGCGACUUGCACGUGGAUUAAGCUGCACGAGCUUCCAUCCUGAGUUUGAAGUGGAAGAGGAAGCUCAAAGCAGUUGUUGCGCUUCGCUGAGAUGCAACGGGCAACUCUCCCAAUGAUCAUAUGGAGAAUUCACACGUAGGCCAAGAAAGUGAAGAACCAGGGGCCGUUUCCGUUGUGCUGCAUAGCAAAUGAGAUCUUCCCCUCACCCCAGCACCCAGACACACUAGUGCUAACACCGUGAUGUUAGGCCUGGAGAUCUGGCUUUUAACCAAAUGGCUGAAGAAGGAACAUCUGAAGAAGUGGGCUGUGCCCACGAAAGCUCAUGGUGCCAUCUACAUCAAGCCUGCACAAGAUACAGCCCGCGGGGGCUCACUGUGCGGCCCGUGACUACUUUCGGACUUGGCGAUGGCUGAAGUUUGCAGGGUACCCGAUGAGGCUGCCGCCGCCCUCCACACACGCCCAGCCCAGCCUGGACGUGAAGCAACCGAGCGUCUGCAGAGCGGCAGCCAGCGGGGAGAGGCGACCGGGCCGGGGCUGGCAUGGAGGCAGCCGCCGCCGGUGUCCUAGGGGGCGUUGCAGUGGGCAACUCGGCCGGGAGGCAGACGAGCACUGAGCCCGCUGCUUGUGAGCCGAGCCCGUGGGAGGAGCGGGCGUGCCCCGCACCUACUCCCCCGAUGGUGAACGCCAGCGAGCUCAGAAGCAGGGGCGGGCAGCUGCGCUCCAUGGUCUGAGCCGCCUGCCGCCGUCCCCGCUCGGACUGCCGCCGUGCCGCUUGUUGCUCUUGAAUUCAUCCCCCUCCCCCAUCUAUCUCCUUCCCUCCGGCCUCUUGUCUAAACAGCGCCAGGAGAGCUCCGGAGACUCUCCUCCUGCUCCGUGCGGAGCUUGGACCCUGCGAAGUAUAACAAAGUUCAAAUUUAUCAAAUU